UUCUUUCCUGAUGCUUUCUGAUCCCAUUCGGUGCCUACUUCCUGUUCCUGUUAAACAACGGAAGUUAACGACUCCAUCAUGUGUUUUUCUUACCUGUGAAUCGCACUUUUAAGACGAUCGGAAGUUUCUAUCAUCAUCAAGCACCGUGAUGAAGAUAUACACCGCCUUGCAGGGAGAGCGGGAGCUUCAAUCCUACUGGUGCUCGUCCAAACAUUUACUUUUUCUCAACCAAUCAGAUGUCUCCUAGAUGGCAGCAGCUGUAUAAACGCGCCAAAUUUGAAGAAAGAAAAGACUUCCUUUUCGCUUUUCCUUUCUGUCUGCUUUUCAACAUUAAAAGCAGUUGUAGUUCAUCCUUAACAACUGACAUGGAUAUAUUCGACAGAAACAAAAAAUAAAUAGAUUAAAAAACGUAAA